GUCCACGCCGUAAACGAUGAAUACUAGGUAUGGGAGGUAUCGACUCCUUCCGUGCCGCAGCUAACGCAAUAAGUAUUCCGCCUGGGGAGUACGGCCGCAAGGUUGAAACUCAAAGAAAUUGACGGGGACCCGCACAAGCAGCGGAGCAUGGGGUUUAAUUCGACGCAACGCGAAAAACCUUACCAGGCCUUGACAUCCUUUGACCGCCUAAGAGAUUAGGUUUCUCUAGCAAUAGAGCAGAGAGACAGGUGGUGCAUGGUUGUCGU
rnacentral:rRNA from 1 species